GGAAGGUGGCUCAGUGGUAGAGUGCUUGCCUUGCAUGCAUGAAGCCCUGGGUUCGAUUCCUCACCACCA
rnacentral:tRNA from 1 species